rnacentral:tRNA from 1 species
GCGGCUGUGGCGUAAUUGGUAGCCGCGCCAGACUUAGGAUCUGGUGACGAAAGUCGUGGGGGUUCGAGUCCCUUCAGCCGCAC